UCCUGUUCAAUGUCAAAAAUGAACAGCAUUUAGCACAGCAAACCUCAGUUACUACGAUCCAUCACAGAGUCUCACAUUCACUACUCCGCUGUCUCUUGGCAGUAAGAACAGCAUUACAGGCAUGUCGAAAAAUUCAAGAGGCUUCAGCAAAUUUCAUGCAUUCUAGCAGUAAUAUCUGUAAGGGCUUACUUAGUUUGUGGCACAGCGUAGCCAUUUCUACUAAUGUUUUGUUAACUCAGAAAGGAAAAAAAACCUCUCAAAAUCCACAUUUUCAGAAAAAAACAGCUUUUUUAAACAAAAUUAUGAGUUCAUAGUGAACUUCUGUUUAUUUAUUGACAGUUUUUCUUCUGCCUUGAAACGUGGCUAAUUGGCCUGUAACAGCUAUCCCAUAUGAUUAAAGGAACUGUAUCUCCAGGCUUUCAAAGCAGAACUCAAUCUUUAUUGUUCCAGCCACUCCUUCACAGAGUAAUUAAGAAUUUCCUGUUUGGUGCUGGCAGGAGGGUGCGGCCUCCCUGUACCACUGACGUCAAUUCCUAAAAGCAGAGUUUAGCCUGCGUGACACACCCACAGGAUGUCUGAAGUUGGCUCUCCACCUUCAUAAACAUCACUUUUUGCUUUGAAGCCCACAGGUAGGAGGCAGGUAAGAUGCGGGGUGAGGGAAUACAGACCUCUACUAAAAAUAAACAUUAACUUCUCUGAAAACACACCAAGAUUCCUAAAAAACGUCAUAAACCCAUAAACUAGUGAUAUUUAGGUUUCAACAACAAGCUGACUGCAGAAUUGGGCAGAAUCUUGAUUCUUUCUUCCACGCUAAUGCUAGAAAAGGAGGUAUGUCAGUCAGAACUGCAAGCAGCAUUACAAAACUUGUAAUCUCACAAAGCUGCAUCUUCCAGCCAAUCACCAGAUCUAUAUUGAUACUUCUAAUGUAUUUUAUAGCCUGUAGCUGAAACUUAAUACAUAAUGUACAGAUAUUGGUGCUCCUUGUGGUAAGACCGACUCCUCCAUUUGAUAGAGAGAAGCUUUCUACACUUCCACUCCUUUCUCUGUGAUUGUAUUUCAAAUUUCCUUACCAACUGAUUUGUAUUAAAAACCACUAUCUGAGGAGUACUUGAUACUUCAACCAAGUUCUACUAGGGCUUGUUUUUCAGAAACACUGAAUGAUUGCUUCUGAUAGCAAAGCCAUAGGCAUGUACUAGGGGUCCUUUGGUAGAAGAUAAAAAAGACAUCAUGCACAGCAAAGAAAAUUCUGUGCAACGAGAAAAGCAGUUUCUAUUAAUCUCCACAGCAGCAAGUUGGAAACUACUGAUGUUGGAAAAGUUUCACUCUAGUAUUCCUCCAUUAUUAGUGCUACCAGCUUCAGACUGGGAGCCAAACUCUGCUCCUUGGGUGUUUCUGCAACUGCUGACUGAUGUACUCUUCAAGUACACAAUAAAUCCAGCUAAAAAUACUGCAAUGGCAGGAAACCCCAGGCAGUGAUUUUAGACAUGGAUGUACAUUCUCUUAAAUAAGAAAGGCAGGUUUUGAGCUUCUAAAGACAAGCCUCUCUAAAGCAAUGCUCAGUUUUACUGCUGCUGCACAGCAGUCCUUCUGGAUAAUCUGUGGCUUAGCACAGCAAGCAGACUUGGUUUUGGACAUGGUAACAGCUGGAAAAAUGGAGCAAAAGGCACUGACUGUAUGUUGUUUGUGUUCAUGACCUAAGAGUACAUAAAUAAAAUGGUGAAUAUCCAUCUCUGUCUCAUUUUCCUUUUGGAGGAAAGGAGGCUGCCAAGACUACAGAAUGUUAACAAUCUUCAGAUGGGGAGACGGGCACUUAGAAAAAAGUGAGUAAGAUGGCGUCAAAAAUCAGAGGUAAAAACUAAACAAGUGCCAAUAAUAAACCACAGCCCCUUCUUCCAUUUCUUUUUAUGCAAGACAGAAAUCCAUGCAAUUCCCAUCAGCAUACUUUGGACAGCUGGAACCCAAGAAAAAUGGUAAGAAACUGUAUAACUGCAUCCCAUAAUGCAGAGAGAUGCUGAUGAAGCUGUGAGACAACAAGAAAUUUUACAGAUGUUCAAGUCUCACCUUUUAACUCAUUUGAACAAAAAGCUGAGAACUACCAUCUACAACUGCUGUACGUGCUGCAGAAUUGGAACUCAAAAGAGCUGAGCAAGAACUGCAGCUCUGCAGACAGCUGGGACAACGGAAGUCAUUGCAACAUAAGGAAUGUCUCCAUAAGCAGACUCUGUGUCUCUGCAUUGUCAAGCAGAGAUGAUGCUUUGGAACAACGUGACAGAUUAAGUACCAAUGCUGCCCACACUUUGUAUUGAAUGUUAUAUUCUUUGCUCAGCGGAUGGAUUUCCUGUGGAAACUGGACUCACUGGGAAUUAAUUAAUGCAAAUCACUAAUGCAGGUGACAAGUCUACAGAAGUCUCAGCCCCAGAGGAAGGGCGUGUUAUAAGCCAGGAACAGCCCUUGUUCAAGAGGCCUAACAAGAGACAAAGGUGAAGCACAGCACUUGGUUGCCCUGAUCCCACUGAAGUUAGAUCUGAAUACAGACAGACCUGGCUGCUGUGUGUGUUGAGUCCUUGCAGAAGGUACAUAUCCAACUGGUAAACAUGGAUACUUAAUAUUUUCUCAUAAUAGAACAUGCAAGCUUACUUCUAAAUAAACAGCAUGCUGUCCUACAAAAGCUAACUGGCAAUCAGUUCACUGCACCCAAAAAGCCACACCAGUAGCCAGCGUGCAAGCCCAAAGCGCUGCCUGCUGAAGGGUGAGCCAGGACCUGGACAGUCCCACAGUUUUGCUAAGCUGGUAGAAUUCUCUGAAGGGAAACAGUAGCUGGAAACACAGCCAUGGUCCAUCAGGUACUGCCUAAGAAUUUUUUAAUGUUUCCAUCAAAAAGUUUUUGUCCUAGGCUUCAUUUCUUCUGCCUAGCCCUUGCUCUGCCUUCUGCUGUUUUAAACCUGGGCAGAUUUGCAGUGGUCUCAGUAAUUGCUGUAUCAGUACUUGUCCGGAAACAAGAGGCUGAGGGGGAAGACAGAGCUGCUGGAACUGCUUAAACUGUGAAUCCCUAAGCAGUGGCUUCAGGUAAAUGUGGAACUUCAAUGGAUAUAAAAGAACUUGUAGGCCUGAGGGGUUUCUUUCCACUGAGUUGCCAAUGUUUUUUAAAAGACUAAGUGGUCCACUAAGAAAGUCACAGGAAUAUUUUUAAAGAAGGGUAUUAAGGUAAUAUAAAUACAGAGAUCAAUAUUAAAUGUCUUCAAAGUAUUUUUCUAGUUUGCUGCUGGUUUUACAUAAAGAUAUCACUACCUCAUUGCAGUUCCACUUCCAGUGAAUGGUAGCAUUGGAACCAGCAUUACUUUAGAAAUGUGGUUGCUAUGUAGAAAUACACACCUAUGUCUGUACGAUGGAGAAGAACAAAAGUUGAAAUUGCAUCUCACAGUGGCAGCUCGGGAGAAAGGCUUUCUGGAUUUUAUCUAUCUUGUUCCUUAAACUUAGUUAAAUACUGCACUGAACUGCCUUUUGUUCCUUUGUUGAUCUGGGAACUACUGUUAAGUUACUUACUCUUGCAGCAUUACUUCCUGGGGAGACAAUGAGGUCAUUGGAGGUGACAUUCGUUCAGGAUAGAAGUCAGUCUUUGCUGGUUCACUUCCCGGUUCUACUUUAAUUGUUUUCUUCAGUGCUGGCUUCUCGAAGGACUCAAUAACAGGCACUGUGUGGGGGAAGGUCAGAGAUGGAAGACAACGUAUCAAGAAUAUGGAGAGUCACAUAAAUAAAUAAAAGAUACACCUAAGAAUCUGUAGUUAAUACUAAAACUGGAAGGUUUUGUAUUACUGUCCCUAUGAACCGUGAUGAAAAGAACUUGAACUCUCUUUUUCAUCAGUUCAAAUCUCAGCAGAUCUACUGAUAAACAACUUUUUACGUAGGCUUAAAGUAGAACAGAAUGCAACCUCGUUAAGUUUUGUGAAAUAUUUACAUAGUAAAUUAUAUGUUUGAGUAUUUUAGAAGAUGGAUAUAUAGUAAUUUUCCCAGCAUGAGAGGACAACAAACACAACUCUGACAGCACCAACCUUGCAUGCUGCUUGGACUAUCCAUCUCAUCUGUAAGGACUGUGGACACCAUGAUGGGCUGCUGGAGAUGGGGAGCAUACAUGAAAGGAACUGGCUGGACAACAACAGGCUGAAUGACCGGGAGUAUUCCUGGGCUUCUCAGUCCAUGGCGAGAAAGAGCAGCAGCCAUUACAGGAGGGAUUGUUAUAGGCAUGGAUAGCGGCUGUACUCCUGGGGGUGACGGUGUGAAUUUACUGAUGGGAGAGCUGGGUGAGGACAGAGUCAAUCCAGGGGAGGUUCUCCUAUGCACAGUCUGAAAUUUUAAAGGGGAGGGAGAACUGCCAGCUGAAGGUGGUGAGCUUCGCUUGUUCACCGUAAGGUCUACUGGCUCCAUCUGAAUUCCAUUCGACAGUCCAUCAGGGUUCGAGUAGAAUUUAUUGUGCAACAUGCUUGGUGCAGAAUAAAUGACGCUGUAUUUGUUUGGC